rnacentral:misc_RNA from 1 species
GCACAAUCAUCAAGUUUACAGGGUUCUAGAACCAUGAUUUAGUCUUAGGUAAAUGCUCUUGCAAGGGAUUACACUAGUUUGCAGAAAAAGUUCACAAACUAAAUCAAUGAAGGAAUAGAUAAUGAACAUAUCAUUUGCAGUCUCUUUUAUUACUGGCAAUUACCAGCUUCAUAUUAGAUGUGAUUUCUAAAAGAUACUAAUCUACAACACAGUAGAUUGUGUAAUCAAGCACCACUUGCAAUGACUCCUUUCUGAUAAAUCACUAUUGCACUCUGAUUGAUAGGAAUUUCUAUGUCCCAUAUAAUUACUUGAAGCUAUCCAAUCUGAAUCAAACUCGGACAAUGGAAGGCAAUCAGCUUUAAGAGAGAGAAAAGAACAUCACUUUCUUAAAUGUAUGCUAUACCUACCCCCAGCUCCAGUCACAUGAUUAAAAAAUCCCACCAAAUGAGCAGAUCCAUAUUUAAAAGGCUACAAUAAAAGGCAAAAUCUUAGUUGUAGAUAAGAUUCUCAUAUCAUUGUUCCCCAAAAGUCUACCAAUACCAAUCAGGCACAUCUCCUAGGAGUCACUAACAAAGUUGAAUCUAAUUUAGGGGGAUACCAUUACCAAUGAAAGGAAUGCAAUAUUAGGUUACAAACAGAUUCCAUAUAAAGAUAUGAUACGGCUUAGGACUAAGGGAUCAAUGACUCAGUGAAAAAACAAAUUUCCUCCCAAGUUUAACCUUCAUAAUAGUGAAUAACAGAAGGGACUUUACAUAUUAGCAUUAGCUAUGCUGUCCCAGCAUAUGCAAAAAAGAAAUACAGUUGGGAGAUGUAAACUAAACAAAAUAUUUCCAUGGACGAAUAUGCAUAAAAGUCUAGCUACAAUUGAUGGUAAGAUGGUGUAAAUUACUAACCCGCGCUGCUCCUUUUUUGUGGGCAUGGUAAGUAGGGCCAUCUUUAUACUCUCCAUACCAAUAGUAGGUCUUUGACAUUUCAUCAUAUAAAAU